AAUCAACGCUGGCGGCGCGCCUAACACAUGCAAGUCGAACGAGAAAGUGGAGCAAUCCAUGAGUAAAGUGGCGUACGGGUGAGUAACACGUGGAUAACCUGCCCUUUAGUGGGGAAUACCGCUGGGAAACCGGCGACAAUACCGCAUAAGCUCGAGAGAGGAAAGCAGCAAUGCGCUGAAGGAGGGUCCGCGGCCGAUUAGCUAGUUGGUAGGGUAAAGCCUACCAAGGCNGUGAUCGGUAGCCGGCCUGAGAGGGCACACGGCCACACUGGCACUGAAACACGGGCCAGACUCCUACGGGAGGCAGCAGUGGGGAAUUGUUCGCAAUGGGCGCAAGCCUGACGACGCAACGCCGCGUGGAGGAUGAAGGUCUUCGGAUUGUAAACUCCUGUUGCUCGGGACGAAAAGCUUCGACCUAAUACGUUGAAGUCUGACGGUACCGAGUGAGGAAGCCCGGCUAACUCUGUGCCAGCAGCCGCCGUAA
rnacentral:rRNA from 1 species